rnacentral:rRNA from 1 species
AUUGAACGCUGGCGGCAGGCCUAACACAUGCAAGUCGAGCGGAUGAAGGGAGCUUGCUCCUGGAUUCAGCGGCGGACGGGUGAGUAAUGCCUAGGAAUCUGCCUGGUAGUGGGGGAUAACGUCCGGAAACGGGCGCUAAUACCGCAUACGUCCUGAGGGAGAAAGUGGGGGAUCUUCGGACCUCACGCUAUCAGAUGAGCCUAGGUCGGAUUAGCUAGUUGGUGGGGUAAAGGCCUACCAAGGCGACGAUCCGUAACUGGUCUGAGAGGAUGAUCAGUCACACUGGAACUGAGACACGGUCCAGACUCCUACGGGAGGCAGCAGUGGGGAAUAUCGGGCAAUGGGCGAAAGCCUGAUCCAGCCAUGCCGCGUGUGUGAAGAAGGUCUUCGGAUUGUAAAGCACUUUAAGUUGGGAGGAAGGGCAGUAAGUUAAUACCUUGCUGUUUUGACGUUACCAACAGAAUAAGCACCGGCUAACUUCGUG